GACGAACCGUGCGAACGUUAUUCGGAAUCACUGGGCUUAAAGCGCGUGUAGGCGGGACGGCACGUCGGUCGCUGAAAGCCCCCGGCUCAACCGGGGAACGGGCGCCGAUACGACCGCCCUCGAGGAACGUAGGGGGACCUGGAACUUCCGGUGGAGCGGUGAAAUGCGCAGAUAUCGGGAAGAACACCCGUGGCUAAGGCGGCUCUCUAGUACGGUACUGACGCUGAGACGCGAAAGCGUGGGGAGCGAACAGG
rnacentral:rRNA from 1 species